GAGGGUAUAGCUCAGUGCUAGAGUGUGUGCUUAACAUGCACGAGGUCCCGAGUUCAGUCCCAAGUACCUUCG
rnacentral:tRNA from 1 species